rnacentral:rRNA from 1 species
AUGCCUAGGACUGGCGAUAUGCCGAUGAGGAGCGCGCCGCCUGCGCGUACGAGCAGCGCAUGGUGGCUAGCGGCGAUGCUUUGGUUGGUGGCGGUGGCGUGGUGCUACUCGCUGCUGCGUGAUUCAUCGUCGGCGCAUCCUCCAAUAAGCUCGGUUGCUGCCAUGAUUUGGAGAAGGAUUCGUCCCCUUCCUCUGUUGCUUCAAGCUGCCAUGGAGGUGGAUGGAGCGAUGGUGAUGCUAGAGGAUCUGGUUUUUGCAGGUGGGUUCGGAGCAUAUCAGCAGCGGCAGAUCAGGUGGAGCUACGGCGCCCGCUGGCAACCGGUCUUCCACACCAUGGCGUUGCCCCUUCUGGCCGAAUGGCGGCCGUGUAUUUCCUCCCAGCCUAAGAGCGAUAGGGGAGGCAGAUGCAUCUUCUAUCUGGAGUUCGAAGCGGUUCCAAGCUGCUGCGAUGGUCUCGUCGCCCCAAGUGGUGCGUCCCCGGCGACGGCGAGUCUACAUCCAGGAAGAAGAUGUUGUGGACCCGAUUGCAAUUUUCAGAUCCAGUUUAGGGUCCUUCUUGUCAAAAUAUUUUCCUUUUAUGUGAGUCCUUGUGUGGGCUUUGUGUUGUAA